UAGGGAAUCUUCCACAAUGGACGCAAGUCUGAUGGAGCAACGCCGCGUGAGUGAAGAAGGUUUUCGGACCGUAAAGCUCUGUUGUUGGUGAAGAAGGAUAGAGGUAGUAACUGGCCUUUAUUUGACGGUAAUCAACCAGAAAGUCACGGCUAACUACGUGCCAGCAGCCGCGGUAGUACGUAGGUGGCAAGCGUUGUCCGGAUUUAUUGGGCGUAAAGCGAGCGCAGGCGGAAGAAUAAGUCUGAUGUGAAAGCCCUCGGCUUAACCGAGGAAUUGCAUCGGAAACUGUUUUCUUGAGUGCAGAAGAGGAGAGUAGAACUCCAUGUGUAGCGGUGGAAUGCGUAGAUAUAUGGAAGAAUACCAGUGGCGAAGGCGGCUCUCUGGUCUGCAACUGACGCUGAGGCUCGAAAGCAUGGGUAGCGAACAGGAUUAGAUACCCUGGUAGUCCAUGCCGUAAACGAUGAGUGCUAAGUGUUGGGAGGCUUCCGCCUCUCAGUGCUGCAGCUAACGCAUUAAGCACUCCGCCUGGGGGAGUACGACCGCAAGGUUGAAAC
rnacentral:rRNA from 1 species